AUGUGUGCUCAGGGAGCCUGGUCAACCAGAACAAGGAUGAAGACAUACUGGCCACUGCUUGAGAAGCCCCAGGGACAGGGGCUUCGAAGAACAAUCACCUCAAAUGCCUGCAACCAUCUCUGGAAGUUGAGUUGGGAUUGCCUGAUGAAAGGUGUGAAUGAGACUACCUGGCCUGCAAGCUUCCAAUUGAUUCUCGUGUCUCUGCUGCUCAUCUCAUCAUAAGAGUGCUGGGAUUUCACCACUCAGGUGGCUGAGGGAUUAACUCAUUAGGUUUGCACAGUAAGCCCUUUCUUUACCCUCUGAAUCAUCUCUCUGACCCCUACUCUCAUCUUCUCAACAAACAGGGACUCAGAUUCUGCUGUUCCCCUUUUUACAAAUGGAGUAACCAAGUCACACAGAGGUUAAACAAGUGACCCAAAGUCACACAGCUUAUGAGAAAUUAAUCUGUGAUGUAUAAUACUUUAAUGUACAAGACCUUAACCUUUUCUUUGUUCAUUCUUUUGGCGCCUGCACCUUUCAUAGACAAAGUUCAU
rnacentral:lncRNA from 1 species